GCCCAGAUGGUGGAAUUGGUAGACACGCUACUUUGAGGGGGUAGUGCCGUUUUAGGCAUGCAAGUUCGAGUCUUGUUCUGGGCA
rnacentral:tRNA from 1 species